UACGUAGGGUGCAAGCGUUGUCCGGAAUUAUUGGGCGUAAAGAGCUCGUAGGCGGUUUGUCGCGUCGGCUGUGAAAACCUAGGGCUCAACUCUGGGCUUGCAGCCGAUACGGGCAGACUAGAGUGCGGUAGGGGUGACUGGAAUUCCUGGUGUAGCGGUGGAAUGCGCAGAUAUCAGGAGGAACACCGAUGGCGAAGGCAGGUCACUGGGCCGCAACUGACGCUGAGGAGCGAAAGCAUGGGGAGCGAACAGG
rnacentral:rRNA from 1 species